rnacentral:misc_RNA from 1 species
AUUACUACACGACUAAAGUUCCUAUUUCAUCCCCCCUUCUCUCACUCUCUCACUCUCUUUCUCUGGUUUUUAGUUUUGCUUUUCUUGUCCGUCGCCGGCGAUAAUCUCAUCUGAGAUUUCAAGCCCUUUGCCGGAGAAAUGAUGGUCCGUGCUAUAGAUUGUGGUUUAAAUUACGAAGAUGGAAGCGUGACGUUAUCUUACCGUCGCGUAAAUCGGAACUUUAACCGUAUGUAGAAACCCUAAGCAAAAGCGACUUUACUUAGCAGAGUUUAGAAGUUAUUCCAUGCUUUGUCUCGCGUAUCAGAGGCUAAAUAGUAUAUAAUAAUCGGAGGUGUAGAGUAGCUGUUUCAGCAUCAAGAGUCUCGAAUUUUGUUCGGCGCACUUUAUCUUUGGCAAAAUUCUGAAUUUCCGUGUCGAUUCGAUUUGCUGAUCUCAUUUUGUGGGGUUAUUGAUGAGUCUGGUGCAUCAUUUGUGGUUGUUUCGAUUGAUUUGUAGGGUUUAAACUUGUAACUAACCUUGUUGGAUUUUCUUUUACGUAAUUCCUUUUCUUCUUCGUCAAUUUUUGUACUCAAGACGAAGAGCUGAGAAAAUAAUUAGUAUAGAGUCUGUUGAGCUUUGGUAGAUUAGGAGCUAUUGAUCGUGAUUAAGAUUUUUGAAAAUGGAGGAGAAAUUAUGAUAAUACUCUGUUGACAUCGGUGGUGGGUUCAAGCAUUUCUCGUGGUCUUGAUCGCGCUGAUCAUGCCUUUUCAGAUGAAGAUCCAGCCAAUCGAUUCAAACACCCAUGAAGAGUCGACUAGAUUGGAGCCAGCAAAGCUAGUGGUGAAAUCGCGUCUCAAGAGGCUCUUUGAGCUCCAAUUCCUGAGAAAUUCCGCCACUGAAAAGGUCGGCAUCGUUGUUGAGCCGCAUUUCCAUAAGGACGGCGCUAAUGGCUCGACUGAGUUUGAGCCUAGCUCACUGUGCUUGGCGAAGAUGGUACAGAACUUCAUCGAGGAGAGCAACGAGAAGCAAUCGUCCACGGCAGUGAGGUGCGGCCGCAGUCGCUGCAACUGCUUCAACGGGAAAUGUAAUGACAGCUCGGAAGACGAAUUCGAAGCUUUUGAUGGUUUUGGUGACUCAAAUUUUGUUUCUUCCAGCGAAGGAAUUGAAAUUCUAAAGAGUUUG